rnacentral:rRNA from 1 species
AUCUACACCUAUACCACCCUGCAUGCACCUGAUCUCGUUGGAUCUCGGAAGCUGAGCAGGUUCAGGCCUGGUUAGAAUUUGGAUGGGAUAAAGGAAAGCAGUAUCCUCCAUGGAUGGAAGGCAGUGGCAGAGA